GACGGGGGAUGCGAGCGUUAUCCGGAAUGAUUGGGCGUAAAGGGUCCGCAGGUGGCCCGGUCAGUCCGCUGUCAAAGCCUGGGGCUCAACCCUGGAGAGGCGGCGGAGACCACCGGGCUUGAGUCCGGUAGGGGCAGAGGGAAUUCCCGGUGGAGCGGUGAAAUGCGUAGAGAUCGGGAAGAACGCCAAGGGCGAAGGCACUCUGCUAGGCCUGAUUUCGCGACUGACACUCAGGGGCGAGAGCCAGGGGAGCGAAUGGG
rnacentral:rRNA from 1 species